UACGUAGGGACCAAGCGUUGUUCGGAUUUACUGGGCGUAAAGGGCGCGUAGGCGGCAAUUCAAGUCAUCUGUGAAAUCUCCGGGCUUAACCUGGAACGGUCAGAUGAUACUGCUUUGCCAGAGUGCGGAAGGGGCAAUCGGAAUUCUUGGUGUAGCGGUGAAAUGCGUAGAUAUCAAGAGGAACACCUGAGGUGAAGACGGGUUGCUGGGCCGACACUGACGCUGAUAGCGCGAAAGCCAGGGGAGCAAACGGG
rnacentral:rRNA from 1 species